rnacentral:lncRNA from 1 species
UCUCUGUUUAAAUUCACAGUACUUGAACUCCUCGUGUCAACUUGCCUCUCUGCGGGCUAAGCCAGCACGGCCACUUUGAAAGAUUUGUUCCUCUGUGGCCUGAAGAGCUACAGACAUUUCAAACAAUGGGCUUAGAGCAAAGCACACAGUGCAUAAGAAAAUGACUUAAAAGUUCUGAAAGGAUUUCCACUGUGGGGACUUUAGAGAAUUAGUGUAGCCUGUGUGGGGGAUUCUGGAUUCAAAACAGAACACUGAGAAGGCACAGUUGUGGUUCUUAUAUUGAUAGUUGGCUCAUUGGAAGGAAUUAAUUUGGCAACACCAUUCCACAGUAACCCUAGGAUAUUGACUACAGUCCAGUCAUUACCUCCUCCUGGUGUGCUCCUGACAUUUCCACAUCCCAUUCCUCCUCUGCCUUGUCUCCAAGAGAAUGUCCCCACUGCUACCCCCUUCCAGGCCUUGUCAUUCCCUCUAGAGGAACAUAUGAAAUUCCAUUCUCUGCAAUAAUGGAAUCACAAUUACAGGUCCUCUGUUAAAGAAGAGAGGUAUAAGUUUCAUGUGAUUUUCCUAAUAUGAGGAACCUGCACCAGUUUCACCCUUGUAGCAGCUGAAAGUAGCAUGGUGAUGACCAGAGUCUCUAGAAUGCUGGAAGAGGGAAAAUGUAGGAACAUAGAUUAAUAUGUUUCUCUUGAGGCUUCCUGUUAUUUGUCAAUUUAGCAAUGUAUGGUCAUCAGGGAGAUGGACUAUUGAGCAUGUUUGUGGGUGAUUAUUUGAAUUGUAGUUUAAUUAAGAUUGAAAGAACCUCAAAUUGUGGGCAAGACUAUUUUCUGGACAGUGUGUACUGGACUCUAUUAAAUAUAGAAUAUACUGAA